UACAGGGGGGGCAAGCGUUGUCCGGAAUUACUGGGUGUAAAGGGUCCGUAGGCGGAUCGGUAAGUCAGUGGUUAAAUCCUGCAGCUUAACUGUAGACUAUCCAUUGAUACUGCCGGUCUUGAGUGCGAGAGAGAUGAGUGGAAUUCCAAGUGUAGCGGUGAAAUGCGUAGAGAUUUGGAAGAACACCAGUUGCGAAGGCGGCUCAUUGGCUCGCUACUGACGCUGAGGGACGAAAGCAUGGGGAGCAAACAGG
rnacentral:rRNA from 1 species